rnacentral:rRNA from 1 species
GAGGGGGGAUUCAAGCGUUAUCCGGAAUCACUGGGCGUAAAGCGUCUGUAGGUGGUGAUGCAAGUCACUGGUGCAAAACUCUGGCUCAACCGGAGGAAAGCCAGUGAAACUGCAUGACUAGAGUGUGGGAGAGGUAGAAGGAAUUCCCUGAGUAGCGGUGAAAUGCGUAGAUACAGGGAAGAACACCGGAGGCGAAAGCGUUCUACUGGAACACAACUGACACUGAGAGACGAAAGCUAGGGGAGAGAAUGGG